rnacentral:rRNA from 1 species
AUUCCUACGGGAGGCAGCAGUGGGGAAUCUUCCGCAAUGGACGAAAGUCUGACGGAGCAACGCCGCGUGAGUGAUGACGGCCUUCGGGUUGUAAAGCUCUGUUAAUCGGGACGAAAGGCCUUCUUGCGAAUAGUUAGAAGGAUUGACGGUACCGGAAUAGAAAGCCACGGCUAACUACGUGCCAGCAGCCGCGGUAAUACGCAGGUGGCAAGCGUUGUCCGGAAUUAUUGGGCGUAAAGCGCGCGCAGGCGGAUCAGUCAGUCUGUCUUAAAAGUUCGGGGCUUAACCCCGUGAUGGGAUGGAAACUGCUGAUCUAGAGUAUCGGAGAGGAGAGUGGAAUUCCUAGUGUAGCAGUGAAAUGCGUAGAUAUUAGGAAGAACACCAGUGGCGAAGGCGACUUUCUGGACGAAAACUGACGCUGAGGCGCGAAAGCCAGGGGAGCGAACGGGAUUAGAUACCCCGGUAGUCCUGGCCGUAAACGAUGGGUACUAGGUGUAGGAGGUAUCGACCCCUUCUGUGCCGGAGUUAACGCAAUAAGUACCCCGCCUGGGGAGUACGACCGCAAGGUUGAAACUUAAAGGAAUUGACGGAAU